GUGAGAGCUUCAGAGAGUUGCUCCCCACCCCCAAUAUUCCCCACAUUAGGGAACAAGAUUUAAGUUUCAUCCAGAUACCUCCAGGCCUCUGAGGGGGAAUCUGCUAAAUUCUCGUGUCUUCUCAGCUGCCCAGAUGACCACAAUCACCAAGGGCCCUACCACCACUGUCACCACCACCACAAGGGACAUGAAUAUGGAAACCAUGGUCAAGGUGGCACUGCCCAUUGCUGUGUUCAAAACUGCAAUUUUGGGGCUGGUUGUCUACCUCUGGUGGAAGAGAAGCAAAGGAUGAAGUGCAGGAUGACAGCAGCAUCCUCUAUGCCUCCUUCACCCUCUCCAGCUCCUCCCUGCACCCCUCCCAAGGAGAGCCCGCAGGAGACCUUGUACUCUAUCGGAAAGGCCCAGUGUGAGCAGGACUGAAUGGGGACUCCCUGAGACUAAGCUGCACAGAGGGUCACAGCUUCUAGUAAUAACCCUGGCCAGACACAGACAAAAGCCAGUGGGUGUGGAAGGCCACCAAGGACCAGAGAGAAACAGAGCCAUCUGCUUCCAUUCCCUCUUCAACUGCCCAGCCCUUGCCCACAAAAAUAAAAGUACUAGUAGGAUUUGCCUGAAGGCACCUAAAGAGAAA